CUAGUUGGCGGGGUAGAGGCCCACCAAGGCGACGAUCAGUAGCCGGCCUGAGAGGGUGACCGGCCACAUUGGGACUGAGACACGGCCCAAACUCCUACGGGAGGCAGCAGUGGGGAAUAUUGCACAAUGGGGGGAACCCUGAUGCAGCGACGCCGCGUGAGUGAAGAAGUAUUUCGGUAUGUAAAGCUCUAUCAGCAGGGAAGAAAAUGACGGUACCUGACUAAGAAGCCCCGGCUAACUACGUGCCAGCAGCCGCGGUAAUACGUAGGGGGCAAGCGUUAUCCGGAUUUACUGGGUGUAAAGGGAGCGUAGACGGUUAUGCAAGUCUGAAGUGAAAGCCCAAGGCUCAACCAUGGGACUGCUUUGGAAACUGUAAAACUGGAGUGCAGGAGAGGUAAGCGGAAUUCCUAGUGUAGCGGUGAAAUGCGUAGAUAUUAGGAGGAACACCAGUGGCGAAGGCGGCUUACUGGACUGUAACUGACGUUGAGGCUCGAAGGCGUGGGGAGCAAACAGGAUUAGAUACCCUGGUAGUCCACGCGGUAAACGAUG
rnacentral:rRNA from 1 species